UACAGAGGUCUCAAGCGUUGUUCGGAUUCAUUGGGCGUAAAGGGUGCGUAGGCGGCGCGGUAAGUCGGGUGUGAAAUCUCGGGGCUUAACUCCGAAACUGCAUUCGAUACUACCAUGCUUGAGGACUGGAGAGGAGACUGGAAUUUACGGUGUAGCGGUGAAAUGCGUAGAUAUCGUAAGGAAGACCAGUGGCGAAGGCGGGUCUCUGGACAGUUCCUGACGCUGAGGCACGAAGGUCCAGGGGAGCAAACGGGG
rnacentral:rRNA from 1 species